UAUCAGCCUUUUGGGCAUGAUUCUGUGGAGCGUGAGGAGUUAAACGCCUUCAUGCCUGCAUAUUCGUGUACUUUGGGUGUACUUGCCCGUGUGGUUAGUUAACAUCAAUUUUGGUUAUCAUAAAAUGGCUGGAGGAAUGUAGCUUCGAUUUCGAUUGAAGUGUUAUAGCCUUCGGCAGAUGUGAUGAUCGGGAUUGAGGAUUGCAACGGAUACCCUUCGGGGCUACCUGUCUGAUCUCUGAUCGUUGCUCUGGUGCCGAAAGCGUGCUUACGGUUAUCAAAGUCGAUGGUUAAUAGGUUAGAACGGGUUAAAUUCGUUAAGGAUGUUGACGUA
rnacentral:rRNA from 1 species